UUUUAAUUUUGUGACUUGUCACAUUUUCAAAAUAGAUCGCUCAAUUAAGCUAUAAUGUUUAUUUUGGUGCUAUCCAUUUAUUUUUUCUGAAAUUUAUGUUUUUCUCAGUGUUUAUUCUUAGUCGUCAUUGAAGUACAACUUGGUAAACUACAAAACACAUCAAAUUCAGUUAUAAAAAAGAGUGUCAUUGCUAUUAAAAGCAGUGAAGAAUUCAAGUACUCUGGAAGAAAAGAAAAUACGUAAGUAAAUGGUCAAUUAUUUGGCACAAAUCGGAGUUAAAGACUAGUUGUAAAAUCAAACUAUGCAGAGAGAGGACAAAAAAUUGGAAUAGAAAAAAUGUUGAUUGCAUACGCUGCUAUUGAAACUGUGAAGUCAAAUAAGCACGGCUUAUGCAGACAUGUGAUAGCUAUAGAGGAAGAAAAAAUAAUAAUCUUGGGCACCAAAUAUCAUAAGCUAAACAUUAUUCAAUAACAAGUAGCUCAGCCAAUAUCGAAACUACUCUAUAAAUUUUAUAGUGAAUUUUUUUA
rnacentral:lncRNA from 1 species